ensembl:lncRNA
GUGAAACGGUCUAGAGAAGAUGUGAAGAAUGUUAUGCUACCCGUAAGAUUGUUCAGCAUGAUGGAUUUGGUGGUGCGUCAGGGAUGGUCCGGGGAGGUAUAUCCAUAGAGGGAACAGGGAAUAGCACCCUGACUGCCAUUAGGUAUUAGGAUGAAAUUCUUCGGCCCACUGUCAGAGCCUACACUUGUGCAGUGGGUCCUGGGUUCCUCAUGGUGUACGACAAUACAUCAAUAAUACCAUUGACUGAGCUCAUGCUCGCCUGACCCAAAUCUAGUAGACCACUUCUGGGACAUUAUGCUUCGGUAUAUCCUUUGUUGCCAAGUCUGAAGGACCACCUGUCCAGGACUUCAGUGAUGCCCUGAUCUAGGUCUGGGAGGCGAUCCUCCAGGACACCAGCUGUUGUCUCAUUUCGAUCAUUCCCUUAUGUUGUCAAGAAGGCAUACAAGCUCACAAACUCCUGAGUAUCAUUUUGAAUUGGUGCAUUACAUUGCUGCAGUCCAGUUUUGGCAAAAUGCACUAAGCUGCUGUAUAAUUUUUUUUCACUUUGAUUUUCAGGGUGUCUUAAAUUGAGCCCUCUGUAUGUUGAUAAUUUACUUGUCCAUCAAAUGAUGUGGCACCUUUUUUUUUUUCUUUUUCUUUUUUGUGUCCCGUUUGGAUCUUUAGCCAUCAGAAUUGUUGUCUUAAAGCCAAGAAAGAUGCCAAGCGGAUUUAUUUUACCAAGUGGAUCAUCAUGGCCUUGCCAUAUUGGUCCAUUUGAUUUACCUUUAUUAUAAUUAUGAAUUUAUUUUAUUUUCAGUUGCUACAAACAGGACAGAUGGCACCUUUUUGUUCCAAACACGCCCAGUCUAUAUCAGUAUAGAUUUUCAGCAUGAUUUUUUACCCAGUGAGAUCUGAUGUGUUUUCAAAGUGCUCCUCUAAUGUUUUUGAGCAGUAUUUAUACAUAUGAAACAUUUUAAUAUAAAUGUUUGUUUUAAUAUAAAGAAUAAAGAGUUGAGGGAUGGCUCAAGACUUUUGCACACAUAUCCUAUAGUGUAGGACAUUUUCCUCCAUUAUACUUACAACGCAGAUUUAAGUCAUCACUAAAAAUCAGUUGAAGUCCUUCUUUAAAUGUUCAGUGGGUAAUUGUUAAGGAAAGGCCCUGAAAGUCAGAAGAGAUUAGUCAAAGCUUUAAUGUUUUGACUGGUACUGGAUAUUAGGACUCCUUAUCCUGCCUUGGCAUUAAUGCUGCUUCAGAAAGAUGCACAGAGAAUGUCC